rnacentral:misc_RNA from 1 species
UCCCUAAUCUACACAUGCAAAACAGUAAAAAAGGAAUAAAUCAAUCAAAAUUUAUGACCUGGCACUGCAUUCUUGUUAAGGAACAACCUCGCCGAUGAAUAGGCUUCUGCAAGUGUUUGAGGUUUAAACAUUCUCACAGCCAAUUGUAACUCAUCCACAAGACCCGAAAGUAAAAAACUUAGGGCCUAAUCCUCACGGAUUCCAGCCUUUGGAUACAACUCAUCGAAAGAGUCUAAGCACUCUUGCAAAGAUGAUACCUGCUCAAGAUUCCUCAUGUCAGCCAGCGGAUCUUCAAGGGCUUUGCUCCCAAACCUUGCAGAUAUACCGUCAUACAUGAAUCCCAAUCCGCAUAAGCAGCAUUUCCAUUGAUCUUCACAUGCCAUUGGUGCCAUUGCAAGGCUCUCCCUUCCAAAUGAAGAGCUGACACCUUAACCCGCUCAUUAUUAGCCACAUCAAAGAAGCAUUCUGCCCUCAUCAACCAUCCCUCAAACCCUUCUCCAUUAAACUUUGGAAACUCAAAAACGUACUGCUCGAGACUUGAUUUAAUAAAAAUUAGGUUUGGAUAGGCAAGUUUAAACUCUUGAUAUUCAUCAACAUUUGAAAUAUUACCUUCCUAAGCCAGGGGAUGGCAAGUUUGUUU